rnacentral:lncRNA from 1 species
CCCAAUCCUAAGUUGCAGUAUGUGUUCAAAACAUAUGUAUUAUAAGCUGUGUAGUUUAGUUGACUCAAAAUGAAAAACUAAAUGAUUGAAGUAUAUACCCAAAUUGAAGUGCGCGCACACACACACACACACUCACUUCUGACCUGAUAAGGAGCAAGCCAGAUGAAAUUGUUUGUGCAUUUGGUUAUGUUUCUAAUAUUAUGCUUUUUUGAAAAGUCCUCUCGAAUAAAGAAACUACAGUAAUAAAUUUCUAGAUUGGACUCUUGUUUAGGUUUAAGUGGACUGGAAGAGUUUAUAAAUUGAGAUUGCGCGAGUUAAAGUACCAUUUUUGUUGUUAGUAGCAACAUAAGAUUACAAUCUUGUCUUCCAGCGUGAAAUACUUUUGUUCUCUAAAGUGCAUUGUAUUUCUGUUGUGCUCCUUGGUCUCAACCUGGACCGAUGAAAAAAAAUGGGACCACUUAUUAUGGACUUGUUGAUUUUAAAACAUCAUACUUUUUCAUUCAUGAGUAUAUGGAUAUACUUGUGUUUUCUUGUAUCUGAAACAUCUCUUCGCAGUACAAUCCGUUCAGGCUAUUUUCCACCCGAGGUUAUUACCUAUGACCAAUGGGUACUGCUGAAACCUGAACCAAAAGGCCUAUUUUCUGGUUGGAAAAAGGGUUCCUUUAGUGGUGGAAAGAAGGAGAUGCAGGAAUCUAUGCAUCAGAAACUCAACUUCACUCUCAGCACAGCUCCUGUGUGGGACAGGUUUGCUGCUCUGUGCCUAAGAUUUUUAUAUUCCUGCUCUCUGGUUAUGAGUGCAUUCUUUCUGCAUUGUUGUGUAUUUGGUCAAAAAGUGAUUUCCAGCAGCUUGGAUUAACAUCAUUAAACAUAUCAGGUCCUUGUGAAAAAAAAGAGGAAAGAAGACUGUCCGGCUUUCAAUAUUUAAUUAUUUGUGUUAUCAUUUCUUUGAUGCUUUCUGGGCCAAGAUUGUCAAGUAGGGACUAGGGAACUAGAAAAGUACAAAGAGAGGUGGUCUUCAACAGUAAUCAUUCUAAAUGUUCUACUGGUUCACAAAUUGCUAGAUUCCACACCCUAUGAUUCCAAAGGCUCAUUGAACACCGGUUAAACGGAUGCUUGAGCCAGGAACAUUGUAGUGAUGAAGCUGAUUGUGUGUACUGUGUCCCUAAGAAAGGAGGUGAAUUUGAGUUCUUAUGGUGGUCUGUGUUUUACACUGCAGGUCCCUUCCUAUUCAUCCAAGUUGAAGCCAUAAACUAACUUCAAUUCUCAUCAGUUUGAUUUUGCUGUGAGUUAUGCUAAGCUGUGAUUUACACUUGACACAAAACAACUAUUUCCAAUUCUAUGCAGGUUGGAGCUUAAGGGUAAUAAAUAUGUCCUAGGAGAAUUUCUGGAGUUUAAAGGACAACAAGAAGAUAUCAUGGCUUUGAGGAACAUCAAAAGAUCGAAAGUUAGUCGUUUGAUCAUUCAAAAGACGAGCAUGUUUGGACUAGGUAAUCACUCCAACAUUUGCUCUGCUUUUCUUUUUAUGGAAACAAUAUUGAUUGUUAAUGAAUGUUUUUUAUCAAAAGGGAACCUGAGAUAAUAUUCUUGACAUAGUAAUGCUUAUUGUAUUAAUUCAUUAAUGAUUAAGAUUUUUAGGUUUUGAGGAGUUUAAGAAAAGUCCAAGAUGCAGUUUGGUAAAUCAAACAUAAACCUUUGGAUCAAACUGAAAUUUUGACAGCUGAUUUUGAAGGCAUUGUUUUAUCGAGUUAAAAUUUCAUGAUGAUUAAAGAACAAAAAAGCUUUCAAAUAAGGUUUGGAAGUUACUGUGUGAGAUUGUUUUUAUUUACUUUGUUGUAUUUGGAUUUUUUUUUAUAUUUAGAUUACGAUUUUCAAUUUAAUUAGUAUUUUACUAUUUAGAAAUACUAAUGCUAAAUGGAUUCUAUUAGUCAAGUAAAUUUUAAUUAGGAAUAAUCUAAUAUAAACAAAGAACAUUCAGAUUAUUAAGAUUUUUUAUAAAAAAUGAAAGAUUUUCUCUAAUUCCGCAAUAGUGAUAGGGUUAAACGUUCGGGUUUGAGAACCUUAAUUUUUUUGCACACUAUAAUUAUUUAGAAAUUUUGAUUUAGAAUUAAAUAAAACAAACUGUAAAAUGCCAUCUGAGUACUCUUAAAAAUUCCAGUAGGAACAUACUAAUGACAUAAAUUGAUCCAGACAAGCUAAGACCAACACUUACAGGAUUGUAAAUAGUUUUGUGCUACAGUACUGCUGUUGUAUGAUGAGUAGAGAGUUCUUAAACAAUCUCAUACCAAGAGACCGUUAAGUAUUGUGGUUUUAUUUUGGUCUCAUGUAUAAUUGGGUUUUAAAUUUUGUUUUUGUAAAAGCUAAAAUAACAUGCUUUUUAUUUAUGAAACCCGCUUUUCAUAUAUUUUACAUGCAAAAAUCUGUUUCAGAGCAGUUUUAACUAAAUAUGUUUUAUUUUCUUCUAAAUUACAACCUCAAUAGCUCAUCAUCCAGACUUGCUUAACACUCACACCCCACCAAAACAAUGUUUUUGUUUAACUGUCCUUUUUUGUACUUCCUCUGUAUAGUUAAGCUCAUCCCUAUUAUAGUAACCAAAGCUCUAUAUAGUAUUUGUAAUUUUUAUAUCGAGCAAGCACACAUUCUGACAACCGAUGCCCUUUUGCUUGUUUUUGCCUUUUCACUUCUCUGUUCAAACUCAAUGAACACCUGCAGCCAAUUCAAAGCUCCAGGUUUUGUACUCUGGCCGUGAUUAUCGAAGUGAAGGGGCUUCAGCUUCUGAGUUGAAGGAAGAAACCGUAAGAUCAAGUACAGAGGUUCUGUUUCAGGCAGAGAACUCCGCUAAAGUCCGCAAAUUCAAGCUUUCUUCAAUUAUCUCCAUGUCACUAAGUGCCUGAACAUGCUCAUGCUGAAUACAAGUUAUGCAUUGCUGUGGAAGCUAUAGGUCAUAGGCUAUGAUGUCACCUUAUGACUGCCUCCUUACGUGUAGGUGUGAAAUUAUAGUUCAUAUUGUAAACUAAAACAACUAAAUUAUGACAAAAAAUAAUAAUAAUAUUUUGCAUUUAAUAUGUGCAUGUGAUAAAAGAUUUAGAGGCAUUGAGAUUUCUAAAUAACAAUUACAAAAUAAAUUAAAAUAAAAAGGUGGUUUGGAACAGUGCUAAUUACUAUUUACACAUUUUUAAUGUAGUAUGAAUUAGAGCGGUAUUUUUUUUAUUUUGAUUUUUUAACUUAUUUUUCAAUCGAUCGAGUCCUUUAAUUACAAAAUUAAUAGUCAAUUACUUCGUAUUUGUUGGCUAGGGAUAAAAUUGAAAGAAGGAGAACCAACUUAAAAAAUGAAAUGGAACUAGAUGGUGUCUUUAAAUUUGGUGUGAAAAGUACAAUAUAGUCCUUCAAUUUUUAAAAUUAGAUCUUUUCGGUCUUUUAUGUUUUUAUAAAUUCAGUUUUGGUACAAAAUUUUAUUUUUAUUAUUUUUUUAGUUCCUAGAUUGUCAAAGAGAGAAAAUUUCAUUGCAUUCCAACAUAGAGAAAAAAAGUUGUUUUCACAAAUCUCAACUAUCAUAUUGGUUAAUUUUGAUGUCCAUGAGUUUUAUUUGAUGAAAGUAGCUUGAUAGUGGUUUUUUAGAACCUCAAUAUCACCUAAAAUAGUAGAUCGAAGUCGAGGAAGAAAAAUGUAACCCGGUUUGUUUCAUGUUUGGGGACUUUUUUAGAUUUUUUAAGUUGAUAAAUCAAUUUCUAGGUGUUUUGAGGGUAUUUAUAAGAUGUUUUUUUUUAUAGUUAAAAUGAGUUUUUCUUAGUUAAAUCAUAAACUUAAAAUACUGUUAUUCAUUAAUGCUAGAGUUAGAAAUACUAACACUAGGAUUAAUAAUAAAGUUGAACCUUAAUAUUCACUUGUGCUAAAGCUAGGAAUAAUAGACCUUUCGCAAGUAAUAUUUACCAAUGCUAGUGUUGAAAAUAUUUUAAUUAGUUGAAUAUUCAUUAAUGCUAAAGUAUAAGAAUAUUAUAGGUAGACCAUCAAUAGCAUAACACAACAAACCCUUAGCAAUUUAAGAUAAAAUUAGUAAUGUAGUUUACUUCAGGUAUGACACUUUAGUUUCCUUUAGUGUAACCAAUCUUGUAACAUAGAAUCUUUGCAAAUCAUUUAGAGUUUUUUAGUGACUAUAAUAUCAGAUGACGACUUCUUAAAUUAUACCUUUCUUCAUCAAAAUAAUGAAAUGCUAGAUAUCUAAUCUUUUCCUUUUCCUUUUUCAAAGGUCACCAUGAUAUUGGAUAGCGACGAUCAUAAUAAAAAUAGAAAGCAUGAAACAAUGAUAAUAUCAAAUGACAUCAUAUUGGACCUAUAGGCCAUAAACACCAUAAUCGAACCAUGUCCUAACUCGAAAACCUAGGGGCUUUAAACCAAAUCUUGGAUAUAGUCUCGGGCCUCUCGAACUAGGUCUCAACUUGAACUCCAAGAUUCAUGCUUAUUUUUUACUUUUGAAACCCUAUUUAACUCUCAAAAUAUAUAAUGAUAGUAUUGGUGUUCACGAUCCGGUUCGGUCCGGUUUUGACCAUCAAAGCCAACUGAAUUGGGAAUAAUAAUUCUUGAAAAAGUUAAACUGAAUCAAACUAAAACCGUAGAUAACUUGGGAGUUUUAGUUUCAUACAACAUUUAAAGAAACAAAAAAAAAAUACAAAGUAAGAAAAAUCUCGGAAACACCCACAAAUUCAACAAGAAAAUCUAAAACAAAACAAAAAAAACUCUCCACUUUUCUGACAGACAAGUGGUGACUAUGAAAUGGCUUGCUCAGAGCUAUGUCUUUGUUUUGACUUGACAAGGAUAAGACUUUUAAACCCAAGAACCAAAGACAAAAUUCCUAAGUCGAAUAGAAACCACUAAACAAAUGACUCGCGCAUAAAUAAUAUAAAUGGUUAUUGCAAUGGUUGUUGGAAGUGUUAGACCCACGUUACCAUGAGCUUGGGUAAUUAUCAAGACCAGGUGUCUUGGGUUUGACAAUUAUGCCAAAUCCACAUUUUUUAAGUCUGAUAAACAUGUCAAACCCAAGUUAUCUGGGCUUGGUAACCAAGUCAGAUCCAUGUGCCUGAGUCUGGUUAUUAUGCUAGACCCACAGUGCUUGGAUAUGACGACCAAGCCAGCUUAAGGUGCUUGGGUCUGACCACAACACCAGACCCACGUCACCUGGGUUUGGCUACCACACCAUAUCCAGACGUCUGGGUAUAACACUCAUGCCAGACCUGCGUGCCUGGGUAUAGCACCAAUGCCGGACUCAAGCUACUUACAAGAGGACAUUGUCAUUAUGGAUUCACUUUUUUAAUAUCAUGAAUUUUUUUAACUAAGAAAUGGAAAGAUAUGUUUGUGUUUAAUAUAAUAAAUUAAAAAAUUAUAUUACUUAAUAAAUUAAUUUUGAAUGAUAAUUAAAUAUAAGAGUAAAAAGUUAAUUUUCUCAUGUAAAUAGUACAAGAUAGAUAUAAAUGCAAAUAUUUUAUUUAGAUUAUCUUUUUUUUAUUUUAUACAUUUUUUUUUAUCUAUCUUGAAGAUUUACUAUGGUUGCUAAAUACAUAUUAUUUUUCGUUCUUAUAAAUGCAUAAUACAAAUAUAACUCUUCGAUUUUAAAUUUAGUAGGAAAAUAAAUUAUGUAUAAAUUACAAUAAAAUAAACUUUUGGAGAUACCAAACAAAAAAUUUAUUUUUAAAUAAUUAAACUAAAUAAUUUAAAAAAUUAGAUAGAUGAUAUUAAUUAAAAAUCAAAUUAAAAGGCCCUCUCCUCUUUCCCUUGGGUCUGAUAGCAAUACCAGAUCUAAGUGCCUGACAGUCAUUUCCGAAUAUAAAUAAUAAUUUAUAUGAAAAUGACAUAAACACCCUAACAUGCAACCUUGUUACUGUGAAACCCAAUGGUAAUUUUAUAUUUGAACUAUUUCAAUAAAAGAAAAAGACGGUGAAGCUCCUGAACACAUGCAUAUUCCUCCUUAGGGGCAUGAUUAUAUCUUUAUUGUUUUUAUUUUUUUGACAAGAUAAAAGAAGCUCCCAACUCUAAAGUUAAAAUUUUGUGUUCAAAAGGGCAAAUCAGCAUCUAUAUUGCAGCCUAAAAAGCCUGAAUAGAUCAUUUUAUUCUCAAUCAUUGUUUUAAUACCAAAUGUAUCCCAUGGAUAAGACAACCCUGCCUCUAACUAUAUACUUAACAAGUUUCUUUGGCAAGGACAAUUCCACCAUUACACUACUCCAAUCUACAAUAAUCUAUGUCUAAGUAAACAGUGAGAGAGAUAUUGAUCCCUUUUAGUAAAUGUUGUAAUUGUAAUUUAUAUCCCUUCUCUGAAACUUUGUUCCAAAUCAAACCUUUUUUCUUCUCUACCUAAUCCAAUGCUGAAGCUAAGGGAGAGUGGUCGAACCAAGACCAGCCUAUUAAGUAAUACUCUAAAAGGUGUGGGAAAACUAUUGUAGCUUUCCCACGCCUUUCACUUUCCCAUCUUUAAUAUAUUAUAUUAUUAUAAUUAUUAUAUUAUAAUAUAUACUAAAAAUUAAAUGAAACUCUAAAUUGUUUUUUUUUUAAUUUUUUUUGUUUUGUUUUUUAAUGAAUUUUUUUGUUUGAUCCCGGGUUUGAUGGGUUAGUCUGGUUUGAUGAGUUAACCAGGAUUUUUUUUUCUUUUUAAUUAAUUUUUUUCAUUUAGUUUAGUUUGUUAAUGUUAAAUUUCUUUAUAUUUAAUUAUCAGAUUUUCAUGACAUGUAUCCCGGACUUGACGGGUUAACUUGGUUUGACGGGUUAACCCAGUUAAUUUUGGGUAAACCCGUCAAUUAUUUUUUUCUAUUUAGUUAUCAAACUUUCAUGACGCGAAUCUUAGGUUUGACGGGUUAACCUGGUUUGAAAGGUUGACCCAUUUAAUUCAGAUUUUUUUUCUUUUUCUUUAUUAGUUUUUUUCUUCAUAUUGGUUUUUUUUUCCUUUGUUUUUUCCUUUUUAAUUAAUCUAUUUAAUUAUCACACUUUUAUGACACGACCUUAUAGCCAAACCCACAUCCAAUGCUCUAGGGUCCAGUGUUGCAGUCAGGCUCACUUAAACUUAAGUCAUGUAAGUUUAAUAUUAUUAUUAAUAUUAUAAAUAGUAUUCUUGGGUCAAGCGUUGCAGCUAGACCCAAGGCUUUUGGGUAUAUCUUUGCAGAAAGACCUAACACUCUUAGAUCUUAGCAUUUUUUUGAUAUUUUAUAUGCAAGAAAAAAAAAUUAACCCGUGUUGUAUGCCUUUGUUUUUUUUUCUUUUCUUUUUAAGCCUUUUACUUUGAAUAGAACGGUGCAAUCCACAGUGAAAAAACUUAUGUCUUUAGUUUAUUUUUUUUGUCUAUAGUUUCUUAAUAUUAAAUUUUUUCUGUUUAAUUAUCAGGCUUUCAUGACAUGGAUCCCAGGUUUGAUGGUUUAACCCAGUUGAUUCAGAUUUUUUUUUCUUUUUCUUCAUUAGUUUUUUCCUUCCUGUAGGUAUUUUUCUCUUUGCUUUUUCCUUUUUAAUUAAUCUUUUUUUUAAAAAAAUUAGUUUAUUAAUAUUAAAUCUUUUUUCUAUUUAGUUAUCACACUUUCAUGAGACGAAUCCUAGGUUUGACGGGUUAACCUGAUUUGGCGAGUUAACCCAAUUGAUUCAUAUUUUUUUUAUUUUUUCUCAUUAGUUUUUUUUUUCUAUUGGUUUUUUUUCUUUGUUUUUUUCUUUUUAAUUAAUUUAUUUAAUUAUCACACUUUUAUAACACGACCUUGCAGCCAGACCGACAUCCAAUGCUAUUGGGUCUGGUAUUGCAGCCAAACCCACUUAAACUUGGGUCAUGCAAGUUUAAUGUUAUUAUUAAUAUUAUAAAUAUUACUCCUAGGUCAAACGUUGUAGUCAAACCCAAGAUUCUUGGGUAUAGCUUUACAGAAAGACCUAACACUUUUAAAUCUUAAUUUUUUUUGAUAUUUUUUAUGCAAAACAAAUUAACCCGCAGCAUCGCGCGAGUCAUGUAACUAGUUGAACAACAAAUCUUGUGAUCGAAUCUUCAAUAUCAAAAGUUAAUAGCAGCAAAACAAGUUAGUGAUAAGGAAUUACAUAAAAGAGAAAGAGAGAGAGGUUCAAAGGGGUGGCGAUUGAAACAAAAAUAACAAGGAAAAGGUGUCUUAGGGUUUAAUUAAGUUUCUAUUUAUAUCCUUUAUAUUUUUAAUUGGGUUAAAUUUGGUUGAAUUGCUUGAAUUGAUUUUAGUUUUGUGAAAUUGAAAUCCAACUGGAUCAGGUGAUUUUUUUGUUUUUAACAUAGUUUUAAAAUCCAACCCGGCCCGACGGGUCGACCAGAGGCUGAAACCGGGCUGGGUUGAAGAAAAAACAGGAGAAGGAAAAACUCGGUGUAACCCGGCAAGACUCGGUCAAAAACCCGGUUGCAACCCGUUGACUUUUGUUUUUUUUACUAAAACAACGUGGUUUUGAUUUAAAAAAAAAGAAUUGAUCCGGGCGACUUGGUAACCCAGUCAAAACCCGGAACCCGGGCCUUAGACCGGGCCGGGUCUAAAACUAUGGUUUUUAAAUCAUUUUCUUCUGUUUUUUCUACUAGUUCAGUAUUUUUUAUUUUUUUGAUUUUCUUGAUUGGCUGUUUUUUUUUUUAACACCCCUGAAUGAUAGUAUAAAAAAUAAACAAGUUUUCAUAUCAUGUUUUUAAAUUUAAAAAACGAAAAUAAAAAAUAAGAAAAACGAAAACAAUAGCAAACAUCACAUCAAAUUUCAGAUGUGAUCUGUUUUCUUUUAACCUGGUACGAUUCAGUGUGUUUGGCAUCACAAACCCACCAACGGAAAUAAACAAAAGAAAAAACCAAACCAAUUUUCUUAAAGAACGUAAAAAAGAAAAAGAAGAGAAGAAAUCUCUUGAGGUUUCUCUUUCUCUCCCUACAAGAUAAGAAAAUUGUUUUUUACGAGACUCGAACACUCCUUGGUUGAUAAGUCAUAGAAUCAUCAUGUGGCUAGAGAUCGUCUGUGGUCUGAUCGUUUACAAGUUGUGCAAAUGCUUCUUCUCCGACGCUGACGACGUUUUAGCGGUCCAAUCCUCUGACACCAAUGCACUUUUCAAUGUUGCUAACAAGUACGUACCUGUACCUAUCUGCAUAUAGUAAUUUUCAAACUUGUUUUUUUUUCUUCUUUUUCUUAACAUUAAUGAUCAUCAAGAGCUAAUCCGGUUUUUAUUUUUGUUGUGUUUUUUCUUUGAAUUGAAGGCUUGAAAAGCUAUAUGGAGGAAAGGUUUAUGCAGGGCUCCGAAUUCCGGAUGCUGACACUGGUUCAAGGCAAAAUAUAGAUAUAGUUCUUGUCACCAAAGGGUAAAUGAAAAUUUUAAGAUAAAAUAUGUUAUGAAGGAACAACAAGAAUUAUUGUUUUGAUUUGACUUUACAGUGAGGCAGUGGUGAUUUCUGUCAAGAAUUUCUCGGGAUUUGUAUCAAUCAGUGGUGAUGGCAGCUGGGUGUGUGAAGGUGAAGGUAGACACAAAUCAGAGCGUCAUCCUGAUCCUGUAAGCUUUUCUUUAUUUCUUUCUUGGAUAGUUAAUUACUCUGAUAUAUGAUUACAAUAGCUUUCAUGGUGCAUUUUGUUGGUUUGAGUUUGUAAAACUGUUUUGGCACCGAGGAAGAGACCUAGGACUGAAUACCAAUUGUACUUGGGAUGGGAGAAUUGGUGGGGAAAACUAGCAAGGCCAUUGCCCCAAGAGGCCCAACAUUGAACCUUUGUUGAUAUUUGCGGCAGGAGGGGUUAAGAAGGCGAUUGAUCCUUCUUUUGAAAAUCUAACCAUUUAACCAAAAUGGGAUAAAAAAUGCAGUUACUAGAGCUUACCUUCCUUUUCUCCCUGAAUUAUGGAUUCCAAUAGGCAGAAAUAAAUUCUCUUGGAAGAACUGGUGACUUUGAGGGAUUGAAUAAAAAACCAACUAUUGCUGCCUAGUCCAAUCUGUUUUUGUUUUCUGACAAAAAAUGGAACAAGAAAUUGUAUUUAAGAAUAGAUGAAGAAUAAAUACAUUAUAGAAAAUGAGUUACUGUCCAAAGCUUUUGCAAUGAACUAUUACGAAAGCAACUAUGCUCUAGACUCAACCCUAAUGUAUUUAUUACUCAGCCCAUGAGACACAAGCGUUGUUUUAUUCAAUGUUAUACAGACAACACAAAUAACUAUGUCUUCAAAUGAAAAGAAAAAAUACAUUAAAAUCAACAGAUAAACUUCAUGAUUGAUUGCAUAACAGUUGUACAUCAGCAUCAUUAUAUUUUUGCUAGUUUUGUUGUCAUAAUAAAAAUAUCUAAUGCAACCAGCUGCUUUAGCAUCUGCAACAUCUUUAAUCAUUGGCAUUGUAUUUAUUUCUAUGCUUACAGUUUCAUGUUCCUUUGCUAUAGUUGCUUGGCAAGCUAAUUUUUGGAUACUGCUAUUUCUCCAAAAUAAUAUCUUGUAUAUUUGUUUCUAGAUACUUGUAUUAUAACAGAGUAUGGAUUUUUGACUCCAGUGCAAAAACAUGAGGUUGAUUUUGGCCACUGUUUGAUCUGAAUCUGUUUUAUUAACCUCUUUUUUCUCAGGUGGAGGAGACUAAAAAGCAAGCUUCAAUUCUUGAAUCAUAUCUUGAACAAAGGGGAGUUGCUCUACCUGAAGGAUAUUUGUCUUGCAAAGUUGUACUUCCCAAUCCUAAUUUGCAGUAUGUGUUCAAAACAUAUGUAUUAUAAGCUGUGUAGUUUAGUUGACUCAAAAUGAAAAACUAAAUGAUUGAAGUAUAUACCCAAAUUGAUGUGCGCGCACACACACACACACACACACUCACAUUUCUGACCUGAUAAGGAGCAAGCCAGAUGAAAUUGUUUGUGCAUUUGGUUAUGUUUCUAAUAUUAUGCUUUUUUGAAAAGUCCUCUUGAAUAAAGAAACUACAGUAAUAAAUUUCUAGAUUGGACUCUUGUUUAGGUUUAAGUGGACUGGAAGAGUUUAUAAAUUGAGAUUGCGCGAGUUAAAGUACCAUUUUUGUUGUUAGUAGCAACAUAAGAUUACAAUCUUGUCUUCCAGUGUGAAAUACUUUUGUUCUCUGAAGUACAUUGUAUUUCUGUUGUGCUCCUUGGUCUCUACCUGGACCGAUGAAAAAAAAUGGGACCACUUAUUAUGGACUUGUUGAUUUUAAAACAGGUUGUUUCUGUCAUACUUUUUCAUUCAUUAGUAUUUGGAUAUACUUGUGUUUUCUUGUAUCUGAAUCAUCUCUUCGCAGUACAAUCCAUUCAGGCUAUUUUGCACCUGAGGUUAUUACCUAUGACCAAUGGGUACUGCUGAAACCUGAACCGAAAGGCCUAUUUUCUGGUUGGAUAAAGGGUGCCUUUCGUGGUGGAAAGAAGGAGAUGCAGGAAUCUAUACAUCAGAAACUCAACUUCACUCUACGCACAGCUCCUAUGUGGGACAGGUU